GGAGGAAUAGCUCAGUGGUAGAGCUCAUGCUUAGCAUGUACGAGAUCCUGGGUUCAUUCCCCAGUGUCUCCA
rnacentral:tRNA from 1 species